AACGAACGCUGGCGGCAUGCCUAACACAUGCAAGUCGAACGAGACCUUCGGGUCUAGUGGCGCACGGGUGCGUAACGCGUGGGAACCUGCCCUUAGGUUCGGAAUAACUCCCCGAAAGGGGUGCUAAUACCGGAUAAUGUCUUCGGACCAAAGAUUUAUCGCCUUUGGAUGGGCCCGCGUUGGAUUAGCUAGUUGGUAGGGUAAAAGCCUACCAAGGCGACGAUCCAUAGCUGGUCUGAGAGGAUGAUCAGCCACACUGGGACUGAGACACGGCCCAGACUCAUGCUGGAGGCAGCAGUGGGGAAUAUUGGACAAUGGGCUAAAGGUUGAACCAGUAAUGCCGCGGGAAUGAUAAAGACCUUAGGGUUGGAAAGCGCUUCUACCAGGGAGGAUAAUGAAGGGGCCGGAAGAAUAGGCGCCGGCACCCUCGGUG
rnacentral:rRNA from 1 species